rnacentral:lncRNA from 1 species
CAAGACUAGCUGCGACACCAAGUGCAAUCUUAUGCCUUGACAACCAAUCUAACUCCGCUUCACCUCUUUCAACUUUUGUCAACAUAUCCUGCAAACUACCAUUCUUCAUGAACUCAUACACAAGGUAAUGACAAUCAGGUCUAGAAAUAUGAGCUACCAAAGGCAAAAGGUUUCGAUGACGAAUCUGACUAACGGUAUCAAUCUCUGACUUAAUUUGCCGCAGUUAUAUCCUUACUUAAAGGCCACACACACCAUCAGUCGCUAACAAAGUAAUAAAACCAUAGUCGGUAUGUGCUCCAGCUCCAAACAAUCCCUUAGAGUGACCUGUGUUCGAGUGGAGGGACCGCACAAGACACCAAAAUUUUAGNNNNNNNNNNNNNNNNNNNNNNNGUGCGUGUGUUAAAAUAAAUAUAUUAAAUAAUUAUUAUAACUAAAUUUUAAAAUUGAAUUAGACUCUUAUGAUAUUGAUAGUAAAAUUCAUCUGGAGAAUUAAAAGUAACUUAUUAAAUAACAAGAAUGUUGUUCAAUCGGCCCCCCAUAUAUGACAUGCAUGUGUUUAAAUUUAAUUACUUUCAUUUCUCAAACUAUCAUGACACCUGUCUAUUUAAAUGUCAGAUAAGUUCAUUUUUAAUGAAAUAUCAAGACCAGCUGCGACACCAAGUGUAAUCUUGUGCCUUGACAACCAAUCUAACUCCGCUUCACCUCUUUCAACUUUUGUCAAUAUAUCCUGCAAACUACCAUUCUUCAUGAACUCAUACACAAGGUAAUGACAAUCAGGUCUAGAAAUAUGAGCUAACAAAGGCAAAAGGUUUCGAUGACGAAUCUGACCAACGGUAUCAAUCUCUGACUUAAUUU